rnacentral:lncRNA from 1 species
ACAUAUCUAAUUAUAAGUUUAUACAAUUUAAUUUUUACUGCUAUCUGUAUUUAAUAACCAGCUUGCAAAUUUUGUGAAAAGCUAACCAGGGGCUUCCAUGGCAAGUAGGAGCCAGCUCUAGCACAUCAACGAUUCCACAAAGGAGUUAUCUGUACAAAAUGAAUGUUUUAGCCAGUGCAUACAUUACUAUAAUCACACUUACAGAAGUCACUUUUGAAAAGUUCUAUAUGUUUAGAAACAUGCCCAGGUGGAUUUCUUUAUACAUACAUGUAAGAAUAUACGUCUCACCCUAAUGCAGGUAAGUUCUCCACAGACAUUGCUCUUCCAAUCUUCCAACAAUGAUUAGUCCAUGCAUGCAAACUGCUAAAACCUUUGCUGGAACUAGCCAGGAAUGAAAAAUACCUAAAUCCACACACAGCUGAUGGAAUAAGCUGAGCUUCAUGUUGUUAGCUCUUGGCAGACCCAACACAAUGUCACAGUUGAGCUCGUGACCUCUGGGUGGCCAUUGGUGGGCUUCGCUUCCUCGUCAUUUAGUGCUUCUGAUCAGGACACUCUCCUAACCUUAUAAAAUGCUCAGAAAAUGAAUAACCAACAUCUCCACAGAUUAAAGUUUUUUUUCUUUUUUUUUUUCAUUACUGUGUGCUCACAGACACACAUGAACCUACAUACUUCACUCCAAAGAAAAGCUCAUGUUUUAAGCUAAACACUACUCUUCUGAAAUGUGUAAUACUUGUAAAAUGAUAUGCUAUAUUCAUUUCCUGAUAUAUAAUAAGGGCCAAAAAAUACAUUCUUUUAAGAACUAAACUCUGCAUCCGGCUAUAUUUCUACUAUAUUUUAGUAUACCCAUGUUACCAUUAAAAAUUUUAAGCUACUACCUGAAAUACUCUUACAGCCAGACUGCUGCUACCAAAGAGAAAUCUGUCCAAUUCUUAUUGCUUCUCUCUUUAUUGAAGAUGAGAAAUCAAAUGACCCCAAAUCAAUGGCUCAGAUCUCUACUGUGGAAGGGAGAAGCAAGUUCAAAGACUUUCAUUAUUAAUCCAAAUUUGAGAAAUGUCCACAAUGAACAAAAAUAAUAGGAAUGCAAGGGGGGAAAGAGACAGCAAUGAUUUUGAGGCUCUGCAUUUUCCCUGAGUAAUUUAAAGUAAGUUUAUAAUGAAUUUUUCUAGGCCAUUAGCUGAAAAGGUUGUCGGAUAUCUAUGACUAUUUUGAAAAGGAAAAAGAACUUAAGCAGGAAACAGCCACUGAAUUUAGAAAGACACUAUGCCUUUAUAUAGCAGCCUUUUUCAUUUCUACAUUGUAAAUAGAUUUUUUUUUUUUUAAACCAGAAGAACCACUGGUCUCUACUUGCAAGGUGUAAUCUUCCUGGGGAGGAGUUUCAUACAAAAAAAAAAAUCGAUCUCUGGGCUCAAAUAGGAUCAACUUACCACGUAAGUUCUUUGUUGAGAAUUUUCUCUACCUACCAUUCAAAGAAAUGUUGGCAGGAGGAAAAGAAAGUCCUCUGCAAUAAAGGAAAAUCUUUCAUAAUAGACAACAAGGCACCUUCCUCUCUGGGGUGGCAAGGACUUGUUCAUUAUUCUUUUAAAUGGGUUGAUUAGAAAUUGGACAAAGAAAUGUCAAGCCGACCUCAAGUGGUAAGCCUCCACAAAGACCAAAGUGUCCCAGAAAUUCUUGAAUAGCAGAGAAAAGAAAAGAAAUCUCCCUAAACAUUUUCAUUAUCCAUUUUCUGCCAAAAAAAUAUUCACACAGGAGCUCUCUGGGCAGCUGUUCCUCUGAAAAUUGAUUUCCUAAGUCUUCACAUCACAUACACCAGUUUAGAGGUGGAAAACGUUAAGUCCAGAUUAUAUUUAGGCAAAUCACUCAUUAUUUCUUUAUCAAGCUAUCACAAACUGACUUCAUCCAGUUUUUCAUUCAGGUCUUGAAAAUACCUAGUUGUUUAACUGAAUGAAAAUUUUCGUACUUCUUUCAACAUUUAGAAGCCCAAAGGAUUUAGAAGAAUUAUCUAAAUAAUUUUUACAAAACAAAAAUUUACUUCAAGGAUUGCUGUUACUUGGAUAUUGCUGGGGAAAAUAUAUAUUGACAUGCAGCUUGCUUUGACUGAUCUCAAAGAUUAAAUCCAAGGAAGUUUGGGUAAAAGAGAAAGAAAUUUCUAAGAGGAACACCUAUCAUUACAAACCUCUCGUUUUAGAGCUUAAUGAGAUUUGAGCAAAAACUACAUAUCAACAAAGAAAAUGUACAUUUUCUGCCAGUAGUUAUUAGGCUAAUUCAUUCUGCAUGUUUUCUAAAAACACAAAAUGAAGAGUGGUGAAGGGUAUGCGCCUAGUCAUGGACAUACUAUGUGAAUUUCACUCCACCUCUCAUCUCAAAACGUCUCAGGUUUCAGGCUUCUACUGUGGUUAAGUGGAAAAAACAAAUAAAAAUUGGAAUCAGCACAUAUGCUCCCCUGAUCUACUCCCAAUUCUGUUUUUCCACUAAAACUGCUCUAUCAAGGUCGCCAAGGACCUUUAUGUUUCUAAAUUCUCUGGUCCACACUUUGUCUUCAGCUUACUGGUCCCCUCAGCAGCUUCUGGCGCCACCUUCCACUGUCCUUCUUGAAACAGUUUUUCUCAUCCUUUCCAUGACAGUAGCUUUCUGGAUCUGCUCCCACAUCACUGGCAGCUCAGUCUAACCUCCUCUGCUGGCUCCUCAACCAGCUCUGCUCGACCUCCAAAGGAUGGCAUGACCAGGGCUUUCACUUCUCUCUCUCUCUACAUUCUACGUUCGAUAAUAUCAUCCUUUACAGAGUGACUGUGCUCAGAAUUUUAUCUCUAGCUCAGAUCACUCCCCUGCACUUGUACAGGUGACCCAUGAACAACACGGGUUUGAACUGCACGGCGCCCCCUUACAUGAGGAUUCAUUCAUAGCCAACACUAUAGAGCCACAUGAUCUGUGGUGGUUUGAAUCCACAGGUGUGGGACUGUGGAUACUGAGGAGGGCCUUCUAGAAGUUAUACACAGAUUUUCAGCUGUGCAGAGGAUCCAUACCCCUAACCCCUGCUCUGUUGAAGGAUCAACUGGACAUUCACCUGCUCCGUAAUCUCUCUACUGGAUAACUUAGUAGGCGUCUGUAGGAGACACUUCUGGAAAGUCUCCCAACUCAUUUCCUCUUCCUGAACACACAGCUGGACUGCACAUGCCAGCUUCCCUUGAUGACGGGCAUGGCCAUGCGGCAGAUUUCUAGCCCGUGGCAUGUCAGCAGAAGUGAUGUCUAUCACUUCCAGGUUUGGUCUGUGAAAAACUUCCUAUGUCUGAUUGUUCAUCCUCUUUGUCUUCCCAAUGGAUGCAGAUGAGCACAGGGACUUUUAAAGCCAAAUGUUGAAGGUGGAUAGGCCAUAACACGGAAGGAACAUGAGUCUCUGAAUCUCCACCUGCAGGAGAGCUGCCUCCCAGUCAGGAAUAACUGAUUUGGAUUUUAUCUGAGCAAGGAAUUCAGUCUUAUUAUAUUAAAGCUCUGGAUUUUGGUAUUUAUCUGUAAGAACAGAUAGAACAUAGCAUCUGAAGCUUAACCUGCCCCAAGCAGAACUUUAGUCUCCUUCUAUCCCAGGCCCGCUCCUCCCCUAGCCUUGUCCUUCUCAGUGAAUGGAGCCACCAUGUGUCAGCUGCUCAGCAGUAGGUGAGUGCCUAGCACAUUUUAAGCUCUCAUAGACACUUGUUGAAUAAAUGGUUGUUAUCCUUAAAUCAUUUCUUUUUCUGUCAUCUAAUCCAUCAAAGGCCCUCUAAGUUCUAUUUCAUAAUAAUCUAUCUACCUUUGUCCACCUCUGCUAUAAUUGUCCAGGAGAACCUAGAAACGACUAAAAAGUCUUCUUUUUUGACACUGAUUUUAUUCUUCACGUUUUACGAAAUUUCUCUUAAGCCAUAAAUAUCUUGGUUCCGAUGAAUGUGCAUGGAUGUGGCCCACUGUUUUAAACCAUGCCAAUGGUUUACGUACUUUCUCACCUAAUCCUUCCAACAUAUUUGAGAUAGAUAUUACCAUCCCCUUGUUUUUAGUCACCUUUAUCAAGAUACGGCUUACACAAAAUAAAAUGCACUUCAAUUUUAAUUUCAUAGCUAAAUGAGUUUAUAAACAAAUAAAUACAACCAAAGUCAAGAUAUAGAACAUGUUCACCACCCAUAAAGAGUGCCCCAUUCCAGUCACUCCCCACCCUCCUAUAUCAGACAACCUAGGCCUCAGAAAAUCACUGAUAAAUCCUUCUUAAAUUGAAGAUUAGAUCCGUCUUGUGUAAUGUUUCAUGUAAGUGGUAAUUUUGUACUCAUCUUUUUAUCACUCGACACUAUAUUGUUGCGUUCAUCAGUGUUGCAUAUUAUCAGUAGUUCAUUCCUCUUCAUUGUUGAGUAGAAUUCUGUUUAUGGAUAUACUUCAAUUUGUUUAUCCAUUCCAUCAGUUGAUGAACAGCUGAGCUAUUACCAGUUUUAAUCUACUACGAAUAACACCAGUAUAAAGACUUGUGUACAAGUGUUUGAGUGGCAGUAUGUUUCCAUUUCUCUUUGGUAACGACCUAGAGGCUGAAUUUCUGGGUCACAGCAUAGGUGUAUGCUUAAGUCUCAUAGGAUAUCAACACGUUUUUCAAAGUGGUUCUACUACUUGAUGAUGUACAUCCUCAGCAGGACCAAGUACUGUCAGUCUUUAUAAGUUUAGAUAUUCUUAUGGGUCUUCACUAGUAUGUCACUGUGGGUUCACGUUUCCCUGAAAAAAAUAGUGAUGUUGAGUAUCUUCUCCCAUUCUUAUUAGUCAUUCAUAUAUCAUCUUUUGGAAGUCUCUGUUCACAUGUUCUGUCCAUUUUUUAGAAUCAUUUUUGCACCUUUUAUUGAGUUCUAAAAGUUUUUGUACACCCUGUAUACAAACACCUUAUAUAUUUUGACUGGUUCUACUUAGAUGUGUCUUAUCUUUUACUCUUUAGUGGUGUCAUUCAAAAAAAAUCUUGAAAAACUUCCUAUUUACC